rnacentral:rRNA from 1 species
CCCUUAGAUGUUCUGGGCCGCACGCGUGCUACACUGAGUGGAUCAGCGGGUCAGGUUGCGCGAAAGCGUUUCCUAAUCUUUAAAUCCGCUCGUGAUGGGGAUUGACGGUUGCAAUUUUCUGUCAUGAACGAGGAAUACCUUGUAAGCGCGGGUCAUCAUCCCGCGCUGAAUACGUCCCUGCCCUUUGUACACACCGCCCGUCGCUCCUACCGAUUGAAUGUUCCGGUGAGCUCUUCGGACUGCGCGGUCUGCAGUUUCUGCGUUCCGUGCGGAAAGUUGCGCAAACCUUAACAUUUAGAGGAAGGAGAAGUCGUAACA